rnacentral:lncRNA from 1 species
UAGAAGUACGCGUAUUUCCUACACACCUGAACCGAGCGAGUAGCAUAUGAUGAGCCGACGCAGCGUGACUCGAGGAGAGAGACGGGAGACAUGUCAGCGUGGAAGCGAGGGGUGGAGGGGGAGGGACCUGGCUAGUUGGGGAAGUUUGACAGUUGCUUUCGGUGGCGGGUAGCAAGUCGAUCGAGUUAAUGGAAGUGGGGCACCAAGCAACCAGCAAGCCUUAUCUCCAAAAUCCUGUCAAGCCUAAGCUAAGCUGCCCGGUCCUUGAUCAAUCACUCGGAUCAACAAUGGUCCUGGCAGGAGUAUUCGAUGGGCAAUUCGGCGGGAGGCAAGCAAUAAGAACAUUCAGCCUGAAGAUCUCCUCUCCUCACUCUUCCGCAAUUCGGCGGGAGGCAACCAGAACGCACGCACGGAAAGUUUCUUGUGAUCAUCUUGUGAUCUUGUCGCCGUGCCGCUCCUCCCGGCCCCCUCCAUGCUGAGAUGAGAUCAAUACGGGCAGGGGCAGGGGCAGG